AAUGAACGUUGGCGGCGUGGAUUAGGCAUGCAAGUCGAGCGAGAAUUUGCGAUUGGAAGCUUCGGCCGAAGAAAGUGAAGGAAAGCGGCAAACGGCGUAGUAAGGCGUAGGUACGUACCCUCGGGUCGGGAAUAGCCAUGGGAAACUGUGGGUAAUGCCCGAUAAUCUCUGCGGAGCAAAGGUGUGAUUCCGCCGGAGGAGCGGCUUACGUGAUAUUAGCUAGUUGGUGGGGUAAUGGCCUACCAAGGCAACGAUGUCUAGGGGGUGUGAGAGCAUGGCCCCCCACGACCGGAACUGAGACACUGUCCGGACACCUACGGGUGGCUGCAGUCGAGAAUCUUCCGCAAUGGGCGAAAGCCUGACGGAGCGACGCCGCGUGGUGGAUGAAGGCCCUUGGGUUGUAAACACCUGUCAGAGGGGAUGAAAUCAUGGUUGGCAAUCCUUCCAUGUUGACAGAGCCUCAGAGGAAGCACGGGCUAAGUACGUGCCAGCAGCCGCGGUAA
rnacentral:rRNA from 1 species